CGGCACGGGUGAGUAACACGUAUCCAACCUGCCGUCUACUCUUGGACAGCCUUCUGAAAGGAAGAUUAAUACAAGAUGGCAUCAUGAGUCCGCAUGUUCACAUGAUUAAAGGUAUUCCGGUAGACGGUGGGGAUGCGUUCCAUUAGAUAGUAGGCGGGGUAACGGCCCACCUAGUCUUCGAUGGAUAGGGGUUCUGAGAGGAAGGUCCCCCACAUUGGAACUGAGACACGGUCCAA
rnacentral:rRNA from 1 species